UACGUAGGGUGCGAGCGUUAAUCGGAAUUACUGGGCGUAAAGCGCACGUAGGUGGCGACGUAAGUCGGGUGUGAAAGCCCCGGGCUCAACCUGGGAAUUGCAUUCGAGACUGCAUUGCUAGAGUACGGAAGAGGAAGGCGGAAUUCCCGGUGUAGCGGUGAAAUGCGUAGAUAUCGGGAGGAACAUCAGUGGCGAAGGCGGCCUUCUGGUCCAGUACUGACACUCAAGUGCGAAAGCGUGGGGAGCAAACAGG
rnacentral:rRNA from 1 species